rfam:Glycine soja cultivar W05 scaffold2223_31, whole genome shotgun sequence.
UUACUAUUGGAUGAUGAUGGUCACGUGUCACGUUCUGAUUAGAUAUAAACUCCAUGAAAGAUGAAAUAUAUUAUUGUUUUCAUUGACCAGUCAGAACAUGAUAUAUGACCGUCAUCAUCC